rnacentral:lncRNA from 1 species
UACCAAAUAAAGGAUAUAAUUAUUUUUAAUUGAAGAUAAAAAGAUAAUCAAAUGAAUGCCAUGUAAUUAAAAGCUUUGAACCUGAAAAGGGUAAAAAACAGAAGAAUACCAAGGGAAACCAGUUGUAUCCACGUCAAGAUCCUCAAUCUCGUUCGUCCGAUCCUCUUCUACAAACGCUAAUUCCACCGUUAAAAAACAAACCUAUCUCACUAA